CGGCGAGGGGAGUGAAAAAGAACCUGAAACCGUGUACGUACAAGCAGUGGGAGCCCCACCACUAAGCCAGUGGUGAACUCCACAUACGCAUCCUUUGCUGAGGAUACGGUUAACGGAGCGAAAGCGAUGUUCAACCGCAAAAGAAGCAGAGGGGGCUUAGUGGUGGGGUGACUGCGUACCUUUUGUAUAAUGGGUCAGCGACUUAUAUUCUGUAGCAAGGUUAACCGAAUAGGGGAGCCGGAGGGAAACCGAGUCUUAAUUGGG
rnacentral:rRNA from 1 species